UUUAGACCUCAAAUCAGUCAGGACUACCCGCUGAACUUAAGCAUAUCAAUAAGCGGAGGA
rnacentral:rRNA from 1 species